rnacentral:rRNA from 1 species
AUGCCUAAGAUAAAGACGAGCCGUGUGAAGUAUCCUGAAGGAUGGGAGCUUAUUGAACCAACUCUCCGUGAUUUGGAAGCCAAAAUGAGAGAAGCCGAGAACGACACACAUGAUGGGAAGAGGAAGUGUGAGGCUCUCUGGCCAAUCUUCCGUAUUUCUCACCAAAAGAGCCGUUAUAUAUAUGAUCUCUACUAUCGAAGGAAGGAGAUAAAAAGGGAGCUGUAUGAGUUUUGCUUGGACCAAGGUUAUGCAGACAAAAAUCUGAUUGCUAAAUGGAAAAAGCCAGGUUAUGAGCGCCUCUGCUGCCUCCGCUGCAUACAGACACGAGACCACAACUUUGCAACCACCUGCGUCUGCAGGGUCCCCAAGCACCUCAGGGAAGAGACGGUGAUAGAAUGCGUCCACUGCGGAUGCAAGGGCUGUGCCAGCGGCGAUUGA